rnacentral:rRNA from 1 species
UACGUAGGGUGCAAGCGUUGUCCGGAAUUAUUGGGCGUAAAGAGCUCGUAGGCGGUCUGUCGCGUCUGCUGUGAAAACUCGGGGCUUAACCCCGGGCCUGCAGUGGGUACGGGCAGACUAGAGUGCGGUAGGGGAGACUGGAAUUCCUGGUGUAGCGGUGAAAUGCGUAGAUAUCAGGAGGAACACCGAUGGCGAAGGCAGGUCUCUGGGCCGAUACUGACGCUGAGGAGCGAAAGCGUGGGGAGCGAACAGG